rfam:Ricinus communis cultivar Hale ctg_1100012355786, whole genome shotgun sequence.
GUAAAGGCGGUGAUGUGUUAAAACUACCUAUUUUAUGAAGGAAUUGAAUUCCUUUGUGAUUAGAAAACACCAAUGGAUCCUUCUGAGCCUUCUA